UACAGAGGUGGCAAGCGUUGUUCGGAUUCAUUGGGCGUAAAGGGUCCGUAGGCGGAUUGGAAAGUCAGAUGUGAAAUCCCACAGCUCAACUGUGGAAUUGCAUUUGAAACUCCCAGUCUGGAGUAUGAGAGGGGUGAAGAGAAUUCCCGGUGUAAGGGUGAAAUCUGCAGAGAUCGGGAAGAAUACCUGUCGCGAAGGCGCUUCACUGGCUCAUUACUGACGCUGAGGGACGAAAGCUAGGGGAGCAAACGGG
rnacentral:misc_RNA from 1 species